UACGUAGGGUGCAAACGUUAAUCGGAAUUACUGGGCGUAAAGCGUGCGCAGGCGGUUUUGUAAGACAGAGGUGAAAUCCCCGGGCUCAACCUGGGAACUGCCUUUGUGACUGCAAGGCUUGAGUGCGGCAGAGGGGGAUGGAAUUCCGCGUGUAGCAGUGAAAUGCGUAGAUAUGCGGAGGAACACCGAUGGCGAAGGCAAUCCCCUGGGCCUGCACUGACGCUCAUGCACGAAAGCGUGGGGAGCAAACAGG
rnacentral:rRNA from 1 species